UACGUAGGGGGCAAGCGUUAUCCGGAUUUACUGGGUGUAAAGGGAGCGUAGGUGGUGUGGUAAGUCAGAUGUGAAAGCCCGGGGCUCAACCCCGGGACUGCAUUUGAAACUACCAUGCUUGAGUGCAGGAGAGGUAAGUGGAAUUCCUAGUGUAGCGGUGAAAUGCGUAGAUAUUAGGAGGAACACCAGUGGCGAAGGCGGCUUACUGGACCACUUCUGACGCUGAGGCGCGAAAGCCAGGGGAGCAAACGGG
rnacentral:rRNA from 1 species